AGACAUCGAUGGAUAUGCUUCUUUGUCAUGUCUUUUGCACGCAAUACCCAAUAUUUAGAGCGUAAAUAACAAAGCAUUAGCUGAAUACCUCCGUGUAAUGUUCUUUUAUGAGCAUCGGCGAUAAUAAGUGAGACAAGAGUGUUGUUGUUUCCAAUGAUUAUAGGAUGUUUAGUAUUUGUUUCUAAACUUGAUUUUGCUAAUCUUCCGCCCACCCUGAGCACUCCAUUAUUAUCUAAAAAUGGAUUAAGCGUCUUCAAUUUACUGUUCUUUUUAAUAUUGUUCUUUUUCUUUAACGAAUCUAUUUCAGUUUCGAAUUCUUCAUUUUGCACUAUUUUGAUACAUGUUAGUAACGCUUCUUCUAUAUCUUCUGUUGUGAUUGUUAUAUUUUUAUUAUCCUUUUUAAACUUGAUAAACUUUUUACAAAAAGCUAUGGUUCUUAAUAGUUCAUUUAAGGUAGUAAAUCUUUCAAAUUUUUCCGAAAAUCUUUUUUCUUCUUUAAUGUUUGUCAAUAUGAGAGUUUUAAUUCUUUCCUUUUUCUUUUCUAGAUCUGUUGUAAAUAUGUUCUCGUCUGUUAAGAUGAUUUCUCCUUUUUGUAACCAAGUAGGUCCUUUCCACCAAAGGUUGCAGUGUUUCAAAUCGGAGAUGAACAUACCUCUAGAUGCAAUAUCUGCUGGAUUUUCUUGUGACUGGACAUGAUGCCAUUGUUCUCUUUUAUGAUUUGCUAAAAUUUCUACUACACGAUUGGCCACAAAUGGCUUCCAUUUCGUGGGUUCACCAGACAACCAAGCUAUGACUAUAGAUGAAUCUGUCCAUGCGAAAACUCUUUCCAUCGGUAUUCUCAUGGCCUGUGCUACUUGGUUCAAUAAUCGGGAUAAAAGCAAAGCUCCAGAAAGUUCUAAUUUUGGCAACGAAAUUGUCUUGAGGGGAGCCACUCUAGUUCUGGCUGCAAUUAAUGCUGUUCUAUAUGAACCGUCCGUUUUCUUGACUAGGCAAUACACCACGGCGGCGUAAGCUAAAAUAGAAGCAUCACAAUAACCAUGAAUUUGAAUUGUAUCCAUGUUGGAGCAUGAAGUACUUAACCAUCGAUCGAUAGAAAUGUUAUUUACAUUCAUAAGAUCUCGGCGAAUCUUCAACCAUUCUUCUUUCAGAAAAAUGUUAAGAUCCUCAUCCCAAUCAACCUUCUCAAGCCAUAGUUUUUGAAUUAAUAUUUUAGCUUGAACAAUACAAGGUGCGAUCCAACCUAAAGGGUCGAACAACUUUUGUAUAUCUGAGAGGAUAUUCCGCUUCGUGAUAAUGUUUUCUUCAUCGACUUCAGCUGCUUCAGGAAACUUAUCCCCUUCAUCAAUCGCUAGUUGCUUCAAAGUUUUUACUGCAAGAUACGGUGCUGAGGCUGUCCCGAACGUUACAGUAAGAAGGCGAUAGUCACGUAUCUCAUCGGAUGGAUUUUCUCUCCAUACUAUACGCUGGUAAUCAACAUCAUCUCUAUGAAUUUUUAUCAUUCUAUACAUCAUUUGAAUAUCUGAGACGAAACAAAUUGCAUGAAUACGCCAUCUCAUUAUUAAAUUUCUUAAAUCUUCUUGCAAAACUGGACCUGACAGAAGCUCCUCGUUAAGUGAAAUAUUGUUGGAGCCUUUACAGGAAGCAUCGAAAACAACUCGUGUCUUCGUAGUUUCUUUGUCCUGACGGACCACAGCGUGGUGAGGUAAGUAAACUGAUUUUUUAUGUAAUUCUUUUUCAGGUACUUCUUCAAUAUGAUUUAAUGUUUUAUAUUCGUUUAUUACCUUCAGAUAUUCGUCUUUUAGUUCUGGAUUUCUACUAAAUCUUCUUUCAAGCUGCAUUAAUCUCUUAAUUGCUGUUUCUUUUGUAUUUCCUUCAGAUGACAAUGGUGCUUCAGUUUUAAAGGGUAAUCUAACUAUAUAUCUUCCUUCGUUAUUCCUAGCAUGA